rnacentral:rRNA from 1 species
UACGUAGGGUGCAAGCGUUAAUCGGAAUUACUGGGCGUAAAGCGUGCGCAGGCGGUUCUAUAAGACAGAUGUGAAAUCCCCGGGCUCAACCUGGGAACUGCAUUUGUGACUGUAGAGCUGGAGUACGGCAGAGGGGAUGGAAUUCCGCGUGUAGCAGUGAAAUGCGUAGAUAUGCGGAGGAACACCGAUGGCGAAGGCAAUCCCCUGGGCCUGUACUGACGCUCAUGCACGAAAGCGUGGGGAGCAAACAGG